rnacentral:rRNA from 1 species
AUUACCGAAUUGUCAACGAGAGUUGUUGCUGGUCCUCGUAUGGGGGCAUGUGCACGCUCCGUUUACACAUCCACUCACACCUGUGCACCCUCUGUAGUUCUAUGGCCUGGGUGGGCUCUGCCCCCCUGCUGUGGUUCUGCGUCUUUACACACACACUACAAUAAAGUCUCAUGGAAUGUAUGUCGCGUUUAACGCAAUGAAAUACAACUUUCAUCAACGGAUCUCUUGGCUCUCGCAUCGAUGAAGAACGCAGCGAAAUGCGAUAAGUAAUGUGAAUUGCAGAAUUCAGUGAAUCAUCGAAUCUUUGAACGCACCUUGCGCCCUUUGGAUAUUCCGAAGGGCAUGCCUGUUUGAGUAUCAUGAACAUCUCAACUCUCAUGGCUUGCCAUGAUGAGCUUGGACUUUGGGGGUCUUGUUGGCCUGUGAGCCAGCUCCUCUUAAAUAAAUCAGCUUGCCGGUGUUUGGUGGCAUCACAGGUGUGAUAACUAUCUACGCUUGUGGUUUCCCACCAGUCAACCUUCAGCAAUGGAGGUUCGUCGGAGCUUAUAAAUGUCUCUCCUCAAGUGGGGACAGAUUUUGAUCAUUUGAUCUCAAAUCAGGUAGGACUACCCGCUGAACUUAA